rnacentral:lncRNA from 1 species
CUAGAGUUGAAGAUUAUGUUUCCUCUCUUACCUCAAAACCUAACUUGUUUUCUGCAUAUACUGUGUCUAAUCUAGUUUCCUCUUGCUGCCCUCCCAAGGAGUGCACAUAAAGAGCCAGCUACAAAUUGGGCAUAAGUGUGGGUUUGGUGCUAAGGGUUUUGGGGGUGCCUAGGCACCAGUUGGGGUGGUUCCUCAGGUGAAGUUUUCCCAGCAGCUCUUGGCCAGACUUCCUACUGGAGUCUAGAAAGCAGUUAGUAGGACCGGGUUUCUUGUCUUUUUUUUUUUUCUUUUCUCUAGGAACCGGAACUACUUCUUUUUUUUUUUUUUUUAAAGAUUUUAUUUAUUUAUUUAUUGGACAGACAGAUCACAAGGAGGCAGAGAGGCAGGCGGAGAGUGAGAGGGGAAUAGGCUCCUUGCUGAGCAGAGAGCCCCAUGCGGGGCUGGAUUCCAGGACCCUGAGAUCAUGACCUGAGCCACCCAGGCGCCCCUAGAAACGGGAACUUCCAUAAAGACUCUUGUGUCUGGCACAUGGUUUUUAGUCACGCUGCUACAAAGAAAGAAGUAGACCAGAAGAAGUGGUGGGCUGCAAAGCACGAUUUAUGCAAAGCUCCCAGAAGAGGGAGGUGAUCCAACCAGAGUGUCUUAAGUCUAGGGGGUUUUUACAGGCUUGUAGGCGACCAUUCUAAUAUGAUUACUCCUCCAUGCGCCUGUCAUCCAAUCAGGUUUUUGUCCACGUGCUCAUCUACCAAUCAAGUAGUUGUUCACGUGGAAAGCGUGGAGCGCUUCUUCCAGGCUGGUGAAAGAUCCUUUCAGGGGUGAUCUUCCUUUUCUUCUUUUUCUUUUUUCUUCUUUUUGUGAGAAAUGGUUUUCAGACAAAAUCUAAAUACGAAGACAGUUGUAAAAGUGCUGACAUUAUCAAUUCCAGCCCUUGAUGUGACUGUGGCAAAGUCUAAGGCAUUUUGGCUGCUUCCAAAUUUUCACACUUAUGAAUAUAGCUACUCCAAACAGGCUUGGGCAGGCUUCUCAAUGUCCCAGGACCUCAGUUUUUAAAUCAACUAAUUUGUGUAAAUGCCAAGGAGCAACAUUGCUGGACCAUAGGGUUGUGUUCCAGCCAUCUUAAAUAUCAGGAGGUUUCUCAGUUACAUUCCAUGUUCUCUUCUCUUUGGGCAUAGAUGAACACAGUUCCCUUCAACUGGAGCCCUUCUGCCAUUUCAGCCCCACUGUUUUGUUCAGCUAACACAUCAUCAUGACUGUAAGAACUAAUUUUUCUGUUUCUUUUUCUCAUAGUGAGGAGCUGUUUCAGGAAUAGAAACUGAGAUUUUAUGAGUGUAUGAGGAGUAUAAUUUAUAAAUGUCAGAGGAGUCAGGGGAAUCAA